rnacentral:lncRNA from 1 species
CAAGCAGCCACCUGGCCUCAGACUAGCCUGGCUUUGCCGUUUCCUUUGGCAGCUCCCAAGACCCGAGGGUAAGAGUCCUGGGUGCCUGGGACCUACCAGGCCAUCCUGCAUCUCCCAUGGGCCUCCCGACCCAGGGACCCCCAUUCUUAUCUGAGAGGACCACCUCUUCCUGAAGCUGGAACCUGAUACUUAUUGUUGCCAACUGAAACCAGGAGAAUCUUGAUGACCUGGAUGAGCUUGAGGCCUCCUCCUCUGUCUCUUCCCAAUCCCCAGAGCUUUGCACACACUGUAUUUAUCAGAGUAUGGGGGUAGCUUCAUAGUUCUCUGGAUGUGACUGUGACGCUUGUCUCCGCCAGUGAGAUGUGAGGAGAAGCAGGCUGUGCCAGCCCCAGUCCCAAGCCUUGAGACUAGCACUCGAGAGGCAAAAGCAGGAGGAUUUCUGAGGUUCGAGGCUAGCUAGGACAGCCAACGCUACAAAGAGAAGCCUUGUCUUGAAAAAACAAAACAAAGCAAAACCAAGAGCAAACCAACAAAAACCAAAACAACAACAGCAGCAACAACAAAAAGAAUUUGCUGAUUCCUAUGACCCCAAAGAGCAAGCCAGAAAUAAUAGAUGGAACAAAAAUCUGGGCCCAGAAUAAAGACCUUGCUACGUGCUAUGACUAUCCUACGAGGAGCAAUCCUGAUGGAUCCAGAUUAUUAGCUGCUUGUCACUGGGGGCCUCCAACACCAGCCUGGGAAUCAUGAUGUCAAGGAAGAUGGGUUGUGGAUUCCAGAAGCUCCCAGGGUGAAGCAGAUUUUCCCAGGGAGCAAAUAUCUCAAAUGAAAUACAACCAAACUCCAGCACAGUGGGGAAACUGGGUCUCCGUAUGUAAAAGACUGAAGUUGAUGGGCUGGAGAGA